GAUGAACGCUGGCGGCGUGUCUAAUACAUGCAAGUCGAGCGAAGCGGGGACGGGGGAGUAACACGUGGAUAACCUCAUAUAAGACUGGGAUAACUUCGGGAAACCGGAGCUAAACCGGAUACGUAUAGAUGGAUCCGCGCUGCAUGAGCUAGUUGGUAAGGUAACGGCUUACCAAGGCAACGAUGCAUAGCCGACCUGAGAGGGUGCUCGGCCACAUUGUAACUGAGACACGGUCCAGCCUCCUACGGGAGGCACCAGUAGGGAUUCUUCCGCAAUGGGCGAAAGCCUGACCGAGCAACGCCUCGUGAGUUAUGAAGUUCUUCGGAUCGUAAAACUCUGUUAUUAGGGAAGCGGUACCUAAUCAGAAAGCCACGGCUAACUCCGUGCCAGCCGCCGCGGUAAUUC
rnacentral:rRNA from 1 species